rnacentral:rRNA from 1 species
UACGUAGGGGGCUAGCGUUGUCCGGAAUCAUUGGGCGUAAAGAGCGCGUAGGCGGCCAGAUAAGUCCGGUGUGAAAGUCAAAGGCUCAACCUUUGAAUGCCGCUGGAAACUGUCUGGCUAGAGUCCGGGAGGGGCGAGUGGAAUUCCUGGUGUAGCGGUGAAAUGCGCAGAUAUCAGGAGGAACACCAAUGGCGAAGGCGGCUCGCUGGGACGUGACUGACGCUGAGACGCGAAAGCGUGGGGAGCAAACAGG